GAUGAACACUGGCGGCGUGCCUAAUACAUGCAAGUCGAGCGAACAGACGAGGAGCUUGCUCCUCUGACGUUAGCGGCGGACGGGUGAGUAACACGUGGAUAACCUACCUAUAAGACUGGGAUAACUUCGGGAAACCGGAGCUAAUACCGGAUAAUAUAUUGAACCGCAUGGUUCAAUAGUGAAAGACGGUUUUGCUGUCACUUAUAGAUGGAUCCGCGCCGCAUUAGCUAGUUGGUAAGGUAACGGCUUACCAAGGCAACGAUGCGUAGCCGACCUGAGAGGGUGAUCGGCCCCACUGGAACUGAGACACGGUCCAGACUCCUACGGGAGGCAGCAGUAGGGAAUCUUCCGCAAUGGGCGAAAGCCUGACGGAGCAACGCCGCGUGAGUGAUGAAGGUCUUCGGAUCGUAAAACUCUGUUAUUAGGGAAGAACAAAUGUGUAAGUAACUAUGCACGUCUUGACGGUACCUAAUCAGAAAGCCACGGCUAACUACGUG
rnacentral:rRNA from 1 species